rnacentral:rRNA from 1 species
GGAAACAGGUGCUAAUACCGCAUAAGCCCACGGUGCCGCAUGGCACAGCGGGAAAAGGAUUUAUUCGCUUCAGGAUGGACUCGCGUCCAAUUAGCUAGUUGGUGAGGUAACGGCCCACCAAGGCGACGAUUGGUAGCCGGACUGAGAGGUUGAACGGCCACAUUGGGACUGAGACACGGCCCAGACUCCUACGGGAGGCAGCAGUGGGGGAUAUUGCACAAUGGGGGAAACCCUGAUGCAGCGACGCCGCGUGGAGGAAGAAGGUUUUCGGAUUGUAAACUCCUGUCGUAAGGGACGAUAAUGACGGUACCUUACAAGAAAGCCACGGCUAACUACGUGCCAGCAGCCGCGGUAAUACGAU